UGGCUCAGGUGGUAAAGCGUCUGCCUGCAAUACAGGAGACCCAGGUUCGAUCCCUGG
rfam:TPA: Bos taurus chromosome 20, whole genome shotgun sequence.